rnacentral:rRNA from 1 species
UACGUAGGGGGCUAGCGUUGUCCGGAUUUAUUGGGCGUAAAGAGCGUGUAGGCGGCCAGGUAGGUCUGCUGUGAAAACUCGAGGCUUAACCUCGAGCUGUCGGCGGAAACCAUCUGGCUAGAGUCCGGAAGAGGAGAAUGGAAUUCCCGGUGUAGCGGUAAAAUGCGCAGAUAUCGGGAAGAACACCCGUGGCGAAGGCGGUUCUCUGGGACGGUACUGACGCUGAGACGCGAAAGCGUGGGGAGCGAACAGG